UGCAAGUCGAACGGUAACAGGUCUUCGGACGCUGACGAGUGGCGAACGGGUGAGUAAUACAUCGGAACGUGCCCAGUCGUGGGGGAUAACUACUCGAAAGAGUAGCUAAUACCGCAUACGAUCUGAGGAUGAAAGCGGGGGACCUUCGGGCCUCGCGCGAUUGGAGCGGCCGAUGGCAGAUUAGGUAGUUGGUGGGAUAAAAGCUUACCAAGCCGACGAUCUGUAGCUGGUCUGAGAGGACGACCAGCCACACUGGGACUGAGACACGGCCCAAACUCCUACGGGAGGCAGCAGUGGGGAAUUUUGGACAAUGGGCGAAAGCCUGAUCCAGCAAUGCCGCGUGCAGGAUGAAGGCCUUCGGGUUGUAAACUGCUUUUGUACGGAACGAAAAAGCUUCUCCUAAUACGAGAGGCCCAUGACGGUACCGUAAGAAUAAGCACCGGCUAACUACGUGCCAGCAGCCGCGGUAAUACGUAGGGUGCGAGCGUUAAUCGGAAUUACUGGGCGUAAAGCGUGCGCAGGCGGUUAUGUAAGACAGAUGUGAAAUCCCCGGGCUCAACCUGGGAACUGCAUUUGUGACUGCAUGGCUAGAGUACGGUAGAGGGGGAUGGAAUUCCGCGUGUAGCAGUGAAAUGCGUAGAUAUGCGGAGG
rnacentral:rRNA from 1 species